AGAUUAUGGGUUUCGAUC
rnacentral:snRNA from 1 species